rnacentral:rRNA from 1 species
UACGGAGGGUGCAAGCGUUAUCCGGAUUCACUGGGCUUAAAGGGUGCGUAGGCGGACUGGUAAGUCAGUGGUGAAAUCCCCGAGCUUAACUUGGGAACUGCCGUUGAUACUAUCAGUCUUGAAUACCGUGGAGGUGAGCGGAAUAUGUCAUGUAGCGGUGAAAUGCUUAGAUAUGACAUAGAACACCAAUUGCGAAGGCAGCUCGCUACACGAAUAUUGACUCUGAGGCACGAAAGCGUGGGGAGCAAACAGG